CACGUAGGGUGCGAGCGUUGUCCGGAAUUAUUGGGCGUAAAGAGCUCGUAGGCGGUUUGUCGCGUCUGCCGUGAAAGUCCGGGGCUCAACUCCGGAUCUGCGGUGGGUACGGGCAGACUAGAGUGAUGUAGGGGAGACUGGAAUUCCUGGUGUAGCGGUGAAAUGCGCAGAUAUCAGGAGGAACACCGAUGGCGAAGGCAGGUCUCUGGGCAUUAACUGACGCUGAGGAGCGAAAGCGUGGGGAGCGAACAGG
rnacentral:rRNA from 1 species